CAAAACAAGAGAUUGCAAAAGAGAGAUAGCAGAUAGAAAGAAAGGAGAAUGUAGGAAAUGCAGUUGGGAAAGAAUUCCAAGAAAAUAAGGAUAAAGGGCAGGAAGGGCUGAAAGGAGGGCAAGAGGGAGGGAAGGAGGGAGGAAGGGAGGAAGGGAAAGAUUUUGGUUUUCAAUUCUCUGGGGAGACUGCUGGCGUCCGCGCCCUGAACGCCCAGCCUUCCAAGUUGAGGCGAAAGCCACCUCCUCGGGCCUGCGUCGCAUCCAACUUACUCCAAGUUUUCUGGUGACUCCUACAGGGCCCCUUUCCGUCCCCCCACCCCCCACCCCCUUAGCGAGAUUGACGGUGGCGUAGAGGAGGCUUUUCCAGGCACAGCUUUUCUCAUGGUAAUCGGCCCCCAGCAUCACCUCCCGGCCGCAGCCGCUCCCUCUCCGUGCGCAGCUCGCGGACCCCGGGGACCGGAAACAGGGCGACGGGCGGGGAGCAGGAGAGCGAGCCAGGCUCAACUCCGAAUGGAUUGGAUUGCGAGUUUGCACGUGAGAAAACCGUUUGGCUUGCCUUGGACCCCUGCCGCCCCUCACCCCUUCCACACACACCCAAUCCAGGGGUCCCCCUUAUCACCCUUUGCUUGCAACUCUGAAAGAAGUUGCCCACCUCCUGCGUAACACCAUCAGGUCGAAAUAAUUCUUCUAGAUGAAAGAUCAAUUCCGCUUGAAAACGAGAAAAGGUUCCUUCUUUUAUUUUCUCCACAUGGUAUAAAAUAAACAGAAUUUGCUUUAAAAAAAAUCAUUAGCUGUGGCCAAAUUCGAAUUCCUUCUACAGCCUGCGUGUUCAAGGGCAGAAACAUUGUAUCUCUUCGGGCAUCUGGGCCGGCAAGCGGAGCUGGGGGCAGGCGAGACGUGGGGAGAGGUUGUGAAAGUUGAGGAAAUUGACAGACUGAGAGGUGAAUGGGGGGGACAGGCACCAGGUCCUGGCUGGAGGGAAUUGGAAAACAAAAGUGCAUCUUCUCACCCUGCCUGGGUAGAGGGAAUCCUGAGGGAGGCAGUUUGUUUUACUCAAAAGAAC
rnacentral:lncRNA from 1 species